rnacentral:rRNA from 1 species
UAAUUGAAGAGUUUGAUCAUGGCUCAGAUUGAACGCUGGCGGCAGGCCUAACACAUGCAAGUCGAACGGUAACAGGGAGCAGCUUGCUGCUCUGCUGACGAGUGGCGGACGGGUGAGUAAUGUCUGGGAAACUGCCUGAUGGAGGGGGAUAACUACUGGAAACGGUAGCUAAUACCGCAUAACGUCUACGGACCAAAGUGGGGGACCUUCGGGCCUCAUGCCAUCAGAUGUGCCCAGAUGGGAUUAGCUAGUAGGUGGGGUAACGGCUCACCUAGGCGACGAUCCCUAGCUGGUCUGAGAGGAUGACCAGCCACACUGGAACUGAGACACGGUCCAGACUCCUACGGGAGGCAGCAGUGGGGA